rnacentral:rRNA from 1 species
GAUGAACGCUGGCGGCGUGCCUAAUACAUGCAAGUCGAGCGAACUGAUUAGAAGCUUGCUUCUAUGACGUUAGCGGCGGACGGGUGAGUAACACGUGGGCAACCUGACUGUAAGACUGGGAUAACUUCGGGAAACCGAAGCUAAUACCGGAUAGGAUCUUCUCCUCCAUGGGGGAUGACUGAAAGAUGGUUUCUGCUUUCACUUACAGAUGGCCCCGCGGUGCAUUAGCUAGUUGGUGAGGUAACGGCUCACCAAGGCAACGAUGCAUAGCCGACCUGAGAGGGUGAUCGGCCACACUGGGACUGAGACACGGCCCAGACUCCUACGGGAGGCAGCAGUAGGGAAUCUUCCGCAAUGGACGAAAGUCUGACGGAGCAACGCCGCGUGAGUGAUGAAGGCUUUCGGGUCGUAAAACUCUGUUGUUAGGGAAGAACAAGUACAAGAGUAACUGCUUGUACCUUGACGGUACCUAACCAGAAAGCCACGGCUAACUACGUGCCAGCCGCCGCCGUAAAAC